GUCACAGCCGGUCGGAGCCCCAUCCGCCGGUGAUGUAAAGCCGGGGAUGUUGAGCAGCCCCCGCUGACAGAGCCAUCCCAUUCCGCAGCCUGGCUGUAAGCCCUCCAUAUGGCCAUGUGAUUGCUGCUGCUGCUGCUUCACGUGAUCCAGCUUUCUGGCACAAAGGCUCGGAGCUCGUACAGAUGAUUGUUAAACAUCAUGAGACUCUGCAAGUGAAUCUCUUGAAGAAAAGCUUGAAAGCCUGGAUGCUGAAGAUCUCAUGUCUCAUCUGUCACAACCAGAAACCUACCUAGAUGAGGAGAAAAGAUCAAGGAAGUAAAACUGACCAAACUACGGGACUGACAAGGUUAAGCAUUGUGUUGCUCUAGGGGAAGGAAGGUGUUAGAGAUACUGCGGAGCCUCAGACAGGAAGGCUAGGCAGCUCUUUAACCAGCAGAUUUCAGAUUUUUACAUACUGGCUGGAAAGGAUCUGAGAUUCUACCAGGUAUGCCACCAGCUUGGCAGCACAGGAGAAGAAAUGGUUAUGGGCUCUGCUCCUAAGGAAGAGACUACUUCAUUUGGAAAUGCUGUAGGUUAGUGCUUCAUUCUGCAAUUUACAGCCAAUGACUGAGCAGAAAGCUUUUAUAUCCCAAGAAGCUUUAAAAUAAAGCAGUUUCAGUUGUAUCAGGUUCCCACUCAAGUUCAUGUGACAGUACUUAGGCUGCCUGUCUUGGUGACAGUAUGAAUUUAUACAGAGACAGAAGCAAUCAGAUCAUAUAGUUUUCAAGA